CAGCCGCCGCGGUAAUACCGGCGGCCCGAGUGGUGGCCGCUAUUAUUGGGCCUAAAGCGUCCGUAGCCGGGCCCGUAAGUCCCUGGCGAAAUCCCACGGCUCAACCGUGGGGCUUGCUGGGGAUACUGCGGGCCUUGGGACCGGGAGAGGCGGGGGGGACCCCUGGGGGAGGGGUGAAAUCCUAUAAUCCCAGGGGGGCCGCCCGUGGCGCAGGCGCCCCGCUGGAACGGGUCCGACGGUGAGGGACGAAGGCCGGGGGAGCAAACCGGAUUAGAUACCCGGGUAGUCCUGGCUGUAAAGGAUGCGGGCUAGGUGUCGGGUGAGCUUCGAGCUCGCCCGGUGCCGUAGGGAAGCCGUUAAGCCCGCCGCCUGGGGAGUACGGCCGCAAGGCUGAAACUUAAAGGAAUUGGCGGG
rnacentral:rRNA from 1 species